rnacentral:lncRNA from 1 species
UUCAGGUUGAGUAUGGAUCAGGCAUACAGAACAAAAGUUAAGGCAAUGGAAAAAAUUGAAGGUGCUACCAUAGAUCAGUAUAAACAUUUAAGAAGUUAUACUGCAAAGCUAACAGAAAAAAACAAGAACAACACUGUCAAGAUCAAAGUGACUUAACUCCUCAUGGUCCUGUGUUUGAACGUAUGUAUGUAUGCCUGGAGGCUUGUAAGAGUGCAUUUGCAACCAAUUACAGGCCUUUGAUAGGAUUGGAUGACUAUUUUCUGAAAGGAGAAUAUGGUGGCCAAUUGUUGUCUAUAGUAGGUAAAGAUGGAAACAAUCAAAUGUUUCCUAUUGCUUAUGCUGUAGUGGAAUAUGAAAAUUAUUUGUCUUGGAAGUGGUUUGUUGAUCUCCUGAUAGCUGACUUAGAUGGUAUUCAGGAAGGAUGUUGGGUUUUCAUUUAUGACCAACAAAAGGUAAAUAUUUAAAUUAUGUUGGGCAUCUAAUUGUUACUAUCAUUUAAUUUAUUCACUGUUAUUUUCAGGGGUUGGUUGAGGUAAUCAAGGAGCUUGGCAAUAACAUAGAACAUAGACUGCGUGUCAAAUAUUUGUAUGGUAAUUGGAAGAAGUAUCUAGGAGCAUAUAUUAAAAAGUUGAAGUGGAUGGCAGCUCGAGCAACAACUACCCCUGAUUGGGACAAGGCCAUGAAUCAGAUUAAAAGUUAUGAUGUAGAAGCUUGGAAGGAUCUGGAAAGGUUAAACUCUGCUGCCUAGACAAGAUCUGCUUUUAAUGUAAACACAAAAUGUGAUUUGCAAGUCAAUAACAUGUGUGAGGCAUUCAACAAUGUAAUAAUGGUGUACAGAGACAAGCCGAUUAUUACUCUACUGGAGGGAAUCUGAUUUCACAUAAGUUCCAAAAUUGUGAAGUUGAGGACUAUCCUCAUGAGGUAUAAGGGUUCGAUCUGUCCUAAAGUUCAGCAAAUCAUUGAAAAAAAUAAAAAAGCAUGUAAAGCAUGGCGACCACAUUAGUGUGGUGAUGCUAAUUUGUCUUUGUUUGAGGUGUCAAAGGACAUGGAAAAAUUUGUUGUGAAUCUUAAAUAACAGACAUGUUCGUGUAUAAAGUGGGAGUUAACUGGAAUUCCAUGCACUCAUUCAAUAGCAUGCAUGCGGAUCAAUGGUGCCAAACCUGAACUUAGUGUCAUUUCUUAUUACAGGUGUUGUUUUCUGUAAUUCCAUGCACUCAUGUUCUUGUUGUUUUGCAAUAAUUGUUUUGAAUUGAAUAUGUUUAGUUGUUGCAUUUGACAAGAAAUCUACUGUGUUGACAACAUAUUCAUUUAUUGUCCAUCCAUGUAAUGGAUCGAACUUAUGACCUCCUUUACAAACACCAGUGAUGCUGCCACCAGUGAUGAGGAGAGCUCUUGGAAGACCAAAGAAAGCAAGGAACAAGAGAAAUGAUGAGUCUACCAACAUGUUCAAGCUGCCAAGAUAGUCAAAAUCAGUUGUUUGUAACAAAUGUGGCAAAAUUGGUCACAACAAAAGGACAUGUAAAGGAAAGACAUUUGCAGAUUGGAACAUUCCAAAAGGGGGAAAUAAGGUAAUUUGCCUUCAAUAUGUGUUUUCCAUUGCAUUUAACAGAGUUUGUGACUUUCACCAUUCUUAUGAUAUUUGUGUUCAAUAUUAACAGAACUUGAAGAGACAAACAACAUCUCCUACCAAUGUUGUAACAAAGAAACAAAAGAAUGCUUCAUGCACAAGUCAGACCACAUCUGCAGGAAUUCAAGGAGGUGACAUUACCAAUGAAACACAACAAUCACGAAUCAGUUAAAGGAGCCGACGGGGAGUACUUGGGCACAAAAGGAUUAUUAGUUUAAGUUUUUAGGAUGCAAAACUUAUAUAUUUUCUGGCUCUCUUCAAUGAGGCUUUGUAAUGCACUCUUUAUGUUAUUAAUUAUUCAGUUUAUGUUUAAGUAAUUGUCUAAAAAGGCUAUGUAAUGCACUCUUGUGUAAUUUUAAGUUUUUAGGAUGCCGAACCUAUAUAUUUGGUGGCUCUAUUCAAUGAGCCUUUGUAAUGCACUCUUUAUCUAAUUAAUUAUUCAGUUUAUGUAGAACUUAUGUGUUUUGUUGUUUAGUUCAACUUAUUGAUUUGUUUAGUUCAACUAAAAACAUAAUUUUAAGUUAUUGCUUUGUUUAGUUCAAGUUAGUGCUUGUUUAGGCUUUUGGAACUUGCUUUUAACUUAUGUGUACAAAAAACCAACUGUAAAAAAAACCAAGUCUAUUUUUUAGUUAUGUUCAAACCACCGCAGAAACAAAAUUAGUCCUAUUUCUUGUUAAUGAGGCUAAACAAACCACCAUCGAAACAAAAUUUUGUCCUAUUUCAAAACAUAUUUCAAAGUUGAAUACCAAAUUAAUACCGAAGUUGAACACUAAUAAAAUCUUCUUUUAUUAACAUAACCAUUCAGCAAUUACAAUGUAUAGAUUACAAAAAACCAACUUAUCAACAUUACUUUCUUCCUAAAUAAUUACAUAAUCAAAACACAAUGGUGCCAAAUCACUACCAUUUGUAGAGACCCAAGAAAAAAACACCAACAAGCAAUUACAUUCCUCUGCUACAUAAUAAAAACACCAACAAGCAAAUAUAGACCCAAGAAAAAACCAAUCCAAUCCCUAAAAUUUUCCCUUCAUCUUCAUGUCACUGAUCUUGGUUUGCAUAUCCUUUUCUCUCAACUUCAAUUCAUCAACCUUCUUCAUCAAUGCUACAAUGAUCAUCUUCUGACGACUAUUGGCAACUGGAUCGUGACACUCAAAAUAAUUAUACCCUUUCCUACCUGUAACCUACAUGCCCAAAAUAACAAAAAAAAUCAACAAAUAAACCAUAACAUAACCACUACGAUAUACAUUAUUUCUUAUCUUGUAUAGACCACAAUAAUAAAAACGCCUCCUUAGAUUAUCCCCAGUCCACGAUGUCACAAGUGGAACCUCUAUGUUAAACAAAUACAUCACGCGACUUCGGGCCUCCGAGGUGUACAACGUGAAAAUCCUUUCCAUGAUGAGGAUGACGAGGCAACGAUGAGGACGACGAGUAGGCAACAACGCCGCAAAACGUUUUAGGGAUUUCAUGGAAUGAGGCUUUUUGAGGUUUUAGGGUUAUCGUAAUUUUUUUUACCACACUUGGUUAAAAAUCGCGAACCGUUUGAGGUACCUCUCAGACGUUGACACAUGUCAGUCAAUGUCCAAUUGUGGGUUAGAAGACCAACAUUGCGUGAUUUGAUUAAAUACGAGGACAAAAUUCGUGAAUAAUUUUACCGAGAGAUAAAAUCUGAAAUUAGAGAUAAAAUGGGAGAUCAAAUUUACAAUUUUAUCAUUUAAAUUUGUAGUGUGUGGAUGGAAGAAAAAAAAAACAAAAACUGACAAACAUUGUAAAUUAUAAAUGUAUGAGAGAUAAAAAAUAAAACGAAAGAAAAGUUAAAUGUACAAAUACAAUAAUUUUAAUUUAAAUGUGAUGAAAAAUAAAUAAACAUAGUAAUCCCUUAUUAUUAAAUUAUAUUAUAAACUAAAAAAAUAAUUUAGACAUUGAGAUUUUUACUGUCUCUAUCCUCUCAAAUAAAUAUUUUUCAUAUUUUUUCUCCUUUCACUUUUAGAAUUAUAUUUUAUCCACUAUUUUUGUAAUUAGUUAAAGGAAAAUUUCAAUCAUCCGAACUCUCCUUUAACGUUCUCUUUAGAUUUGAUUUUAAUAACUAUCUAUUCUUUUCAACUUGAUAGAAAAAUAUUAAUUUAUUUUAAAUUAAUAUUUUUCAUACUGUUACAUGAAAAAUAUUAAAAGCUGCAUAGAGAUUUAUUAUUAAUUAAAAAUUAUUAUGUCCUUUAACAAACAAGCAUCAUAUAAAUUAUUAUGUCCUUUAACAAACAAGCAUCAUAUAAAGUACAAUUAAUAGUUUUUAUAAGAAUCGUUUUAAAAGUAACAUUUAAGAUGCCUUUUAAUGAAUUCACAACAUAAAAAUAAUAAAAGUAAUAAAACUUUUACUAUUUUAAUACAUUAGUAUACGUACAGAGUAAAGUCAGGAAAAGAAUCCAAUGAUAAAAACUUAAAACACCCGGAUCAUCAAUCGAGGUCUUUGAAUAUGAAGUUAUGAACUUGUGGCUUGUGAUAAAAAAUAUUGAGUAUGAACAGUGGCUGUCAUAAAAAACUAAAAAGCCUCAGUGAUACUCUUACUUUUUACCAACUUGCUUGGUUGAGGAAAAAAAAAACAGAAUAAAAGGAAGAAAGAAGACAAAAUAAAAAAUAAAAUUUUCUUUUCUUAUUUAAUUGGGUAGAAAAUGAUGGAAAAGAAAAAUGUAUACUUAUGAAAUAACAUAAAUAUUUUUAAACAAAAUAAAAUGAGAAAUGUUUGAACAUAUUAUCUGAUACAUUAAUUUAAAUAUAUUUUUCUACUAGUUGAAGUUUAUAAAAAUUUCAAAAUAUAUUUUUCUACGGUAUUUAAAUAUUAUUUUCUUGACAUUGUAAUUUUUACUAAAUUUUAUUCAAUUUAGAGAUAGUGUAUUUUAAAAAAUAUAUUAAAAAGUGUAUUUUUAACGCUUCAGAAAUAAAAUAUGCUUUGAAUAUAUAUAUAAAAUCCUAGUCAUUAUGCUAAAUAAAUUAUGCUCUCAAUCUUAGCAUAUGAAAAAGACAAAUAAUGAAACGAUUAAGUGCUUGGUUGAUUCGUGUAAAAAAAACAGAAGUAUUUGAUUUUCCAUCCAAUUUGUUAUGACAAAAAUUUUAAGAUAAAUCUAAUGAUGGAACACAAACUAAAUACAAAAGAAAAGGAUAUAAAUGUUUGUGCAAACAAUCUUUCGUAUCUCUGGCUGCAUGCUCUAAGCCAUCUCAAUGUAUAUUUUCUAACUUUAAAGUGACCACUUAAAAAAUUAAAUAUUAAAGUGAAUGAUAAUUUAUUGAUAAAUACUAACCUGUGUUCUUGGACCAUUAAUUAAAAAAAUUUAGAAAUUUAUUAAAAUAUAUAAAAUUAUGUUAUUCAUAUUUUUUUUUAUCAAGAUUCUCUUAUAAUUUUUAGGAUAAACAUGUUUUACUUUUAAUUUCUUAAUCAAUGGUUAAGAAUACACUUAGCAAAAUCCGAUGAAUUAUAUUAAAAAAAUAAUUAUUGGUAUUGCAAAAAUCAGAUUAUUUUAUUUUUCCAAAAAAAAAAAGUCUGGUUUAUUUAGCAUAAGAAAAAAUCCUCAUGGAUAUUAGCACGGAAUUGAAAAAAAAAACGUUAUUGCUGUGUCAUCGUUAUCAUAAAUUGUAUCUGUGGCGCGCAUUGAUUCUCAUCCACCAAUGGCGUUCACCGUCGGCAUCGGCAGCGGUGGGGCUAUAAUUCCCUGCGGCAACAGAACCACCGCAAUUCCUUACAUCCGUGGCGGCGGUGGUGGUCUCCUCUUCCCUGACCGAACGAGAAGCAGAAACCUCCACCUCCACGUGGCGUGCGCGAAGAAGAAGAAGAAGCUCCUAGAGAAGAUAGAACUUGAAUUCUGGGAAUGGUUCGGCACCUUCCUCAAGUAUUCCUGGAUUAUUGCCAUCGCUGUCGCGGUACCAACCACCCUCUUCAACCUUCGUUUCUUCUUCCCAAUUGGAUUAGGGAUUUCUUAAGUUAUGUUUCCAUAAAUACUUGUUAUAUAUAAGUAAAUAUAAAGUUUCCUCAAAAUCAGCUUAUAGAGACACUAUCUGAGAGGAUUUACCCUGUUAAUCUUUGUUAUUAUUGUUGUCAUCAUCAAGCUGCUGUGCAAAAGUAUAAAUGGAUUAGGGAGAUCUUGUAGAUGUUUUAUUCUAAGAGAACAUAUUUUUGGGUGAUAUUUACUUGUGCCAAAUAAGUUAAUUGUAGACCACAAUACAGUUGUAUACAUAAGAAAAAAACUCAAAAUUUAGAUCACUAGUUAAAAUAAUUUUUUGCUGUUGAUUAAAAAAAGUGAGAAUAAUUCUUGGCUGAAAUUGCAAAUGAUUUUGAUUUUGCAGUAGUGGGAGAAGGAUUAUGAUCUGAAUUUUACUAUCUAGGUUCCUUGAUGAGCCGUUUCAUCAAAAGAAUCCAAUGUUAAAACAUCCGCAUAAAAAAAUCGAGGUAAUUGAAUAUGAAGUAUGAACCGUGUCUGUCAUGAAAAAAGCCUGAAUUACACUUUUUUUUUAUAGUUUUGUUUGGCUAUGAAAAAAAAGUUAAAAUUAGAAGAAAAGAAAAGAAUAAAAUAGAAAAAGCUGAAAGUGGGACAAUUUUUUUUUGUUUGAUAAGAAAGUAGAAGAAAAAGAAAAUGAUAGAAAAAAUGUAUUUUUAUAUAUUGGAUGUAAAACAUGAUUAGCGGUAGUGUUCGUUAACUCCAUUAGAUUCCCACUUAGCGGUUAAUCGAAAGAGAUUUUUUUUUCUUUGAAAGAUAUCUCUAGCAGUUGUCUUAACGAGAUUUCUAUGUUAAAGUUACUCCUAAAGUGUGUUUGGAUAAGUUAAUUUAACUAAAUAAUGUAUUUUUUAUAGGAAAUUAAAUUCUUUUUUUUUAUCAAAAAUAACUAUUUGGAUAUUUUAAUAAAAUGAAUUUAAAAUUUUAGAAUUUUAAAGAAAUUUUAGCUAGUUGAAAGAAUAGAAUUUCAAAUGUUAUCUGCAAGAGAGUGAAUUUCAAAUUCUCAGACUCUGGCGUCGUCGUGGACUGCGUCUCCGCAGUCAAGAACUAACGCGGCAAGAUCUGUGACCUCACGCAUCAGGCGGCCAACACUGCGAGCUGCCACACCACGGCAAGGUCCGAUGAAGGGCUGAUUCGGCGGUUGUAGAUUCCGGCCAAGUCCACCACAGACAAAGGACUAAAGUUAACAUCAAUAGCGUUUCUUUCACUGUUGGGCAUGUAUUCGACGACGAGUAAUUUGUUAUCGUUUGGGUCGGUGCUGAAGUCGAUGAGGUUGACGAGGCAGGGGUUGGGGAUUUGGGAGAGGAUCUCAAUCUUGUUUUCGGUGAGACUGGUGCAGUUGCCGCAAUCAGUGCAUUUGGUGGCGUGGUUUUUAGAGGUGCUGGUGGCGACAAGUUUGGUCGUUUUGACGACGGUGAGGAGCUUGUCAGCUUCGAGGGUGGCUCUGUAGACUCUGCCGUGGCGGCCUCGGCCCAGGAAGGUGUCGGAGGAGUUGUUGGCGGUGGCGACGAUGUCAUAAAUGAAUAGCUUCGACUUUUAAUAAAGAAAUCCAAACACAGAAUUUUAAAAAUAGAGAAAUUUAAAUUGAAACAUUUGAAAUUCUUAGAAUUUGUCUCAUCUAAACAUACUCUAAAUGAAUCGUGGUAAAGGAAAACCAACAAACGAUUAAAGUAAAUUGCAUAAACUUAAAGAAAUGCAAUUAAAGGCAAUGAAAACAAUAAAAAAAUGUAAAUGACUUAGUAAAAAAUAUUUAAAAUUUUAUAUAAAUGAUUUUUCUCUUAAUUUUAAUUACAAAGGAUGUAAAGUGAUGUGAACCUAACCACGCGAGUGUUUAUUGAUUUUUUUUUAAUUAUUUAAAGAAAAACAUUAAAUAACAAGUCAAACUUUUAAUAUCAUAAAUUGAUUUUCGGAAAGUAUUUUCUAUUUUUCUAAACUAAGGUUCUCUUUGAAAUUCUCAAGUGCGUUGAAUUAAUAAAAAAACAAAUACUUUUUUUGCUGAAUGAAAGUUAGGAGUGGGAAUAGGCCAAGUGGCCUGAGCCUAACCUACGAUAAAUAUUUGAGGUCUGAGCCUAGCUUAUAGUCUAUGAAAGACUUUUAUUUUGACUCGGCCUGAUAGUCUUUUUAAAAGCUUUCUUUACAAUAAAUAUUUAAUAUUUUAUGGAGUACGAACAUGUAGGAAAGUUAAAAAAAAAAGGAAAGUCAAAAUAAUGAGGAAUAUAAAAGAGCACAUGACUCACAUCUAAAUUGUAAUUAAAAUCCUUGAUUAUAGGAAUAUAAGUUAUGAAAUAGUAAUAUGUAAUCAAAGUCUGAUAGUUUAAAAAAAAUUAAUUGUAUUCAAAAAAUAAUAUUAUAUAUUGGUACCCAAAAAAUUAUAUAUAUAUAUAUAUAAAAGUCGGUAUAUCAAGCUUAUAAGGUUUUUUAAUAAGCCUACUGAUGGUCUAUUUAAUAAAACAAGGUAUAAUGAAUUGAUAUUUUAUUUAAAAUAUCUUUUAAUUAAUUGAUAUUUUAUUUUUUAUGACUAUUUUAUUCUUGGUUUCAAGGUAUAAUGAAAGACAUUUUAAUAAAACAAAUAUCUUUUAAAUUGAUUAGUAUAAUUAAAUAGUAUAAAUUAUCUUUGAUUUAAUUAUAAAUUUUAUCAUCUAGCUUUUAUAAUUUUAUAAAUUUUAUUGCUUAAAAUUUUAAUUACUACACAUUUUAUCGCUACUGAUGUAUAAAAAAAAAGUUAAAGGAAAAAACAAGUAAGUUUGUUUCUGUUUCUGAGGUUAAUCCUUUGUUACCUAUACGAAGGUAAAAUAUUUUAAAAAAAAAAUAGGUGGUAAGAUUUGCAAAGAUAAUAAAUAUUAGGUGAUAAAAUUUGUAUUUUUUAUUACACAAAAAAAAUCAGAUUAAAAAAUAACUGUUGGCAUUGACAGUGUUAUAAUUCUGGUUUAGCAUAAAAAAGAAAAGAAAAGAAAAGAAAAUCCUUGUGGAUAGGACGCAAUCAAAAGAGCAAACGUUGUUUGUUGGUGUGUUAUCAUAAAAUUAUAUUUUUUAGGCGCAUUCUCAUUCACCAAUGGCGUUCACCGUCGCCAGUGGCAGUGGCGUGGCUAUAAUCCCCUGCGGCAACACCGGCACCGCCGCACUCUUCCCUCACCGAACGAGAAGAAACCUCCACGUGGCGCGCGCGAAGAAGCCCCUCAACGGCGACGACGUUUCCGUUUACGCUGAGCUCCUCAAAGCCGAAGUUUCCGUUUUGGAAAAUAAUAAGCCUCUCGACGACAACGAUGCCGCUUUGAAGUUCCUAGAGAAGAUAGACCGUCAGUUUCAACAGCCCGAUUUAUGGGAAGGACCCCAGUGGGACUGGCUCGGCAUCUUCAUCAAGUUUUCCCCCAUCAUUGGCAUCGCUGUUGCGGUAUACUAUCCUCUUCAACCUUCCUUCUUCUUAUUCUUGUGUUCCUUAUACAAGUAGAAAUGGAUUAGGGAGUUAUUAUGGACGUGUUUGGAUAAGCUUAUCUAGAAGCACUUUUUAGGAGAAAAAAUAAAAUUAAAUGAACUUUUCCAUGAGCUAAAAUGAGUUCAUUAGCUAAUUUGUCGGUGUCUUUCAUCUUUUUGACAAAUUAUACGAGAGAGCCUACAAAUUAUUAGCUAAUGGUUAACUAAUAAAUAAAGAACUCGUUUAAGCUUAUGGAGAAACUCACUUUAUUAUUUUCUUCUCUUAGAAAUGUUUCCAAAGAAACUUACCCAAACAGGCCCUAAGUUGGGUUUUGAUAAAUUUCUCAAUAACCACUUAUUACAAGUAAAGAUUUUCUUAUAUAUUAACUUAUGCAUAGGUUUAAAUCAACCUUUGGGGAAGUUAUCUGAAAGAGCUUCUGGAAAUUAACUUGUGCAUAGACUAAUAUUGAUGGGGCCGUACAUUAGUAGAAAUGGAUUAGGGAGGGAGCUCUUAGUUGUAGAUGUUUUAUUUUAAGAGAACAUAGGUAUUCUUGAGAGACAAUUCUGCUCGAGUCGAAUAACUAUAUUGUAGAUGUAGAUGACAAAGUUUGAGUAUUUAAUGCAAUUGUAACAUUUUAUAUCUAAGACUCUAAUUUUGAACCACUAAUUGUGCUUGUUGAAGUUGCAGAUGCUUUUGAUUAUGUAGUACCUGGAAAAGGGAGUAUGAUUUUGAUUUUAAAAUUUAAGAGAAUGGUGUUGUUUUUACACUUAGUUUUGUUGCAUCGGUGUUGAGUUUGCUUCCUGUGGAUUUCGCUGCAUUGAGUUACUGAGUACUAUAAAACAUUUUCUGUUAAUUUAAGGGCUUGUAUGUUUUGGCAGAAAGAAUUAGGCUUUGAUUUUUUUUUUCUGGAUGAGCCUAUGUAUCGAGUCAAACACUAAUCUCUCAAUGCACUCGUUUAUGUGAUUUAGCUCUUCUAGUUGAUGUUAUUCCAUACACAGAGUGAGACUCUUAAUUUAUUUACAAAAUUUUGUAGCCGUGUUUGUUUUGUUUUUUGAAAGAAAAAAGAAGUUAAUGGAAAUAGGGUUAGUUCUCACAAGGUGGGUACUAGAAAUACUGUGUGGAGGAAUGUCUUGAUUGGAAAUUUUGAGUAAUCUAAGUCACGCAAUUUGCAUGUUGAUUCAAUCAAGGCUUUAAACGUGUUUAUGAUCAUUGGGAUUGUAGGCAAGUCUUGCUAUCUACGGUUGCUUUACAUUUCAUGAACCACCAAAAAAUGUGAGGGAGGCUGCUGAAAGGCUGUAUUCUGUGCAGUCUGGUGUGGAGUCCAAUGCAGAGUCCGAUGAUGUGGAGUCCAGUGCAGAGACUGAUGUGGAGUCUAGUGCAGAGUCCAGUAGUGAAGUUUUCAAAGAGCCUGAUGCAUAUGACUCAGAUGUGUUUGAUUCCAAUCCAACAGAGGUAGCACCUAGUUUGGAGUAGACUCUCCGUAGAUACUGCAAAUAUACCUUAUUUUUAGCAUUUGAACCAGGUGAAAGGAUUCAAACUUUUUCUCCACUAAAUUUGUAAGGCAAUGCUUCUGCUUACAUGUACACCCUCUUAAAGUGUAUCAAUUCUGAGACAGAUCAAGUGGAUUAGUUGUACGUGUAAAUGUAUGGUUAUUUGUUGCAUUGCAUCUGAUUGCUCUGAUCGUUGUAGACAAUCUUUUAUCUAUGUUAUAGAUCAGAACUACUGUAAUGGAAUCUUUUACAAACAUAUAUAGUUCAGGUAGAGUUUGAGUUCAAAUUGAUACUGGUUUUUGUGGACCAGAAUUAUGUGUUACCAUCUACUUAAUUUGGUCUAGAAUUUUGCUAUAAUUCAUGAAGUAUAAGUAGGAAUUGAUAGAGAAUCAAAUGUUGAUUGUAUAAUUCAAUGGCGACUGAUUGUUACUCAUGAAGUCCACUUGCAUGGGAGGAAAAGUUUUAUAAUGUCUAAAUAAUAAUAAUACCUUCUAUCUUGGACAGAAGGUAUAUUUCUUUGUUACACAGAAAAGAUGUUUAUUUGUUACACGGAAGGAUAACGAUAAUCUACUAUUACUCCCAAAAUAAAUGACAUUAUAAAGUUCAUGAAGUACACUUGGACUGGACAUAUGAUUUCAACUAAUAGUAGUACAGUACAAAUGCUAACAAUAAAAUUGUUACAGUUGUAACAACAACAAAUUUGUUCCACAUUUUCAAGUUAGUGGCUGUGCUACUUCCAAAUCCGAUCCCAUCAUGGUUUGUAUUGGUGGCACUGAAAAAUGCGGGAGAGCUACAGAUUCAAAAGAGAACAUCAAGAAGCAUGAUAUAAUUUUCAGGACAUUGGCCAAGGAAAUUAUUAUUAAGGAACAUAUAAUCCUGUAAAAGUUAAUAUGGAAGCUAACCUAGGUUUAUAUUUUCCAUUCAUUUUGAAACAUCAAGUUUCUCAUACCAAUACAGAAGUUAGAGGAAUGGAUAAAUGAGAAUGGAAAAAAAAGAUGCUUGUUUACCAAUACCAGUGGAGUUGUUCUUUGUCCCAAAGGAAACCUGAGAAUGAGAAGUUGCAGGCAUAUCCACUUGUUCCCCUGUGGCAAAAAAAUACACAGGUUUAGAAAUAAGCAUUAAAAAUCAAGCACAGGUCACACUUUUUGAAUGUAACCAGUCAAUUAUAAACAAAUUGCUAGAUAUGUUUUAAGAUUGAAUGUGACAGUUUAUGAAACCUAAACAAGCCGAGAUAUUGGCAUUAACUUGAAGGGUGCAAAGAGCUGGUAGCUGCAGAGCAAGUGCCCUGUUGAUGGGGAGAGAUCUCUCAAGUUAGUGCCAUUGAGAAAGAGGCACAGAUAGUGUGGUUUUUGGCUGUAGUGUUGCUUGAGGUUGCCACAGCAAGACCCUGGAGAAGGGGAAGUACGCUGCACAAAUGCUGUGCAAGGAAUAAGGAGAAGGAGGCUUGGUGUGCAUUGAGCUAUAGUGGGGCUUGAGUCUAGCGAAAGUAUGUUAGGAAGAUGGGAAGUCAACAGCAAGAGAAUAAUAAUCUGACACAAGAUGGGGACAAAAAUUAAAUAUUUCGGAGAAGACAUUAUGUUAUUACGUGAUCAUGUUGUGAUGAUGGGAAAAUAUUUACCAAGGUGUCUAAAUAGAAAAAAAAAUUAUCACUUUUCUGUGUGAGUUGUUACGUGCAUGGUGAGUGAGUUGGAUCUAUAACAUGUGUUUGUUGUUUCUUCCUGUGAAAGACUAACUCAUUGAAACGCUUAAAAUGUUAGGUAAAGAUAUAAUAGUUUAAUUUUCAUGCAUCUAAAUUUUUUACACUAUCAAACCAAUCAAAAUAACUCUAAAUAUAACUAGUUAUCACAAAAUUUAGCAAUUUUACUAUAAAGUUUUCUCAACUUUGAUUAUAAGAUAUUUUGAAUACAAAGUAGUUAAAAAAAAAAAACCAAUACAAAUACUCACAAAAUGCUCACCGUAUUCCUACAUUUACUUCCUUUUCCCCUUCCUAUGCACAAUUAGUAUGGUAUAUAUACUUCAAUUCCAAGAUAAAAAUGUUUCAAUUGUUAUUUUUAAAAUGAAAAAGAUAAGAACAUAAUUGUCAAAUCUGGAACACAAAUCAAGUCAGGGAACCGGUUCACAGGGUCCCUGAUGGGACAGCUGAUCUGGAUAGAAAAACUACCUCUACAUUAAUAAUAAUUAAUUAAAAAGGACAAAAAUAGCGGGUUGACCAAAUCUUGUUAAAAAAUUGGUCGCAAGAUAGAUACACAUUUGUUCCAUUGAACUUUGAAAUGCUUGGUAAUAAAUAAAUAAAAAAAAUCAUUUCUUGCAUACUAAAUAAUGAUAAUUUGAUAUAGUACAAGCACACGAUUUUGCUUUAUAUAAAAAAAAAUUGCAGGCAGAAACACUUUCAUCAUUCUAGCAGAAGUAAGAUCUUUAUGCCUUUUUUUUACAAAAGAAAACGUGCUCUCUUCCUUUGUUUAUGUAGUGGCAUGCACAAAACGGGAACAAGAAGUCAAGAAUAAUGUGACAAAGUACGCUACAUUUGCAUCCCUUGGCAGACCUAUCGACACAAAAGGAAUCAGAUUCAGCAAUUUAAAGGAGCAUCAAGGUCAUCAAACGGAAAUGUUAACCAGCUCAUUAUAAACCCUUUUUGGCUCUCAAAGUUUUGUUGUUGCUUGCCUUUUAAGAUUCACUUAAUUUGCCUUUGCUAGCUCACUCAUACUACUUUGGAUUUUCAAAUUCCUGUAACUAUCUCUCCCUCUCUCUGAUUGAUUUCAUGACAGUGAAGGCAAGUUCUAAUCCACCAUCUUUUGGUUAUCUUGUUAGUUCUAUAAAAUACCGUUAGAAUCAUUUUUGUUUUCUUUGGUUGGCACUUGGCAGUACUUCUGCAUGGUGAUGAGGAUCAAUAUUGAUUGUAAUGGUUGCUACAGAAAAGUGAAGAGAGCCCUUCUUGAUAUGCCAGGUUAGGCAUCAUGCAUGGAUCAUCCUUAAUUAAUUUCUAUAUGCAAACUUCUCAUAGUUCUGAAAUUGAGAAUUCAAUUGUAAAUUAUAUAUAUUUUUCUUUGACUAUGCUAUAUAUUGUGCUAGAGUUGGAUACUCAUCUGCUAGAGAAGAACCAGACCAGGGUGGUUGUGUGUGGAAGGUUCAUCCCACAGGAUGUUGCAAUCAGGAUAAAGAAAAAAACUAACCGUAGAGUUGAGAUAUUGGACAUACAAGACUUGAGUGAGAGCAAUGCUGAAAUGGAAGACCAGAAACCAAUGACCAAUAAUUGGACUCUUCUAGCCACCCAGAAUAAAAUGGAAACAUGUCUGGCUUGAGAGAAACAGAGGAUAUAUUGUCUCAUUUGUCCACAUAUAUCCACAAUUGAGUAUGUGACUUCAACCAUUUCUUUUUAAAUUAUUAGAAAUAUUCUCACUACUAGGUAUGUGACUUCAACCUUUUUUUUUUAAAAUUAUUAGAAAUAUUCUCACUAAUCAUUGUAAUAAUUCUAGACAUAAUUACUAACUUGUAAUUGCAUCUAUUUCUGUAUUUGAUUAUAAUUUCUUUAUCAAGAAUAUAUAACAAAUAAUAUUUUCAUCUAUUUCUGUAUUUGAUCGUAACUUCUUUAUUAAGAAAGAUAUAUAACAAAUAGUAUUUUUUUUUGUAAGAAAUUAUAAUUUAGUAGCUUUUGAAUUAGGUUGCGUUUUAAGAAAGAGGAGGUGCUGGAUUACAAAAGCUUUGCCUGUGAAAAGUAAUUAGAAAGUAAUUUAUUAUUUACAAUUGUCUCUUUUCUUCCCUUAUUCUCUGUUGUAUGCAUGUAAAAAGAUAUUACCAUCAUACGUCGUAACGGAAUUUUUUAGUUCCUAUAUUAGGCUUUAAAAAUCUAGAGACUUUGGAAAGGGUUAGAAAGAAAUUAAUAAAUAAUUUCUAAAUCCAAAAGUGAACAACCCUGCUCCACCACCACGUAGGCUUUACAUGUCCCAACAACUCUCAACAUAUGAUGUAUUGGCACAACAUCUCUGCCUUUAUUAUGGUUUAUAUUUCAGCCACAUAUAUAAGACCCUUACAUUACUACAUGCAUACAUUUUUUAUUCUUCUACAUAAACUAUAACCAUAUACUAUAUCCUCCACAUACAUGACAAGACACUGUACGUACGUAAGUACAUAUGCAGCAAAUUUAUUCAAAGACAACAAUAUUAUAUAUAUGCAUGCAUGCAUGAUGCACGAUGCAUCUACUUGUCACUGUGUCCUCCAGGAAGCUUCUCCUUAAUCUUGUCCAUAAUCCCUUUCUUCUCGUUCUGAUCACCAUGAGAUUGGUCAUGCUGACGAUGUUCCUUCCUAUAUCCUGCUUCAGUGUGCGCACCCCCAGUGUUGACUCCAUACCCAGUUCCACUUCCAUAACCAGUGCCACCAGUUGUUCCAUAAUCAGUGCCACCAGUGCCUCCAUAACCGGUGCCGCCCGUGGUUCCACUUCUGGGACCAGUACCGGUGUCUGCGGUGUUGGUUCCAUAGUAAGGGCCACCGAUGUUCCCAUGUUGCCUACCAGUGUCACCGGCAUAGCCACCAGUAGUCCCAUGUUGUUGCCUAUCGGUGUCUAUACCAUAGACACCGGUAGUUCCAUGAUGUCUAUUGGUGUCAUCAUUAUAGCCACCAGUAGUUCCAUGAUGUUUAUUAGUGUCACCAUCGUAGCCACCACUAGAAUGCUGUCUACCAGUGUCUACGCCGUAGGCAUUGGUGGUAUCAUGUUGCUUAUUAAUGUCAUCACUGUAACCACCAGCAGCAGUUCUGGUGGCUACAUAGGUGACACUAGCAGCAUGAACAGGGUUGCCGUAUUCGUCGGUUUGCUUCUCAACGUUGCCAUACUCGUCAACCUUGCGACCCUGAUCAUCGUAGUGCUUUUGAUAACUUGCCAUAGUUGUUGUUGGUUUUGAUUGUAAGGAAGUACUUGUAGUAGUUGUGUGUGAUGUUGGAUGAUGAAAGAUGCAUGCAAGCAUGGGGUUUAUUUAUAUAGGAAA